UACGAAGGGGGCGAGCGUUGUUCGGAAUUAUUGGGCGUAAAGGGCGCGUAGGCGGCCUGGCAAGUGGAAGGUGAAAUCCCUCGGCUUAACCGAGGAACUGCCCUCCAAACUGCUUGGCUUGAGUCCGGGAGAGGUGAGUGGAAUUCCCAGUGUAGCGGUGAAAUGCGUAGAUAUUGGGAGGAACACCAGUGGCGAAGGCGGCUCACUGGACCGGAACUGACGCUGAGGCGCGAAAGCGUGGGGAGCAAACGGG
rnacentral:rRNA from 1 species